GCACCCCAGUAUCUGUACUUGCACAUUCAUCUUCUGCACAUCUAUCACUCCAGUGUUUAAUUGCUAAAUUGCUAAAUUGCCUCACCUCCCUUAUCUUACCUCAUUUGCACACACUGUAUAUAGACUUUUUUCUAUUGUGUUAUUGACUGUAUGUUUGUUUAUUCCAUGUGUAACUCUGUGUUGUUGUUUGUGUCGCACUGCUUUGCUUUAUCUUGGCCAGGUCGCAGUUGUAAAUGAGAACUUGUCCUCAACUAGCCUACCUAGUUAAAUAAAGGGGAAAUAAAAUAAAAAGAGGGGAGUGGAGACCCGGCAAUAGCAUUUCUGUCUGAUGUAUUAUACGGAACAAAAAUAUAAAUGCAACAUGCAACAAUUUUAAAGAUUUUACUGAGUUACAGUUCAUAGAAGGAAAUUAAUCAAUUGAAAUUAGGCCCUAAUAUAUCGAUUUCACAUGACUGCACAGGGGCACAGCCAUGGGUGAGCCUUGGAGGGCAUAGGCCCACCCACUUGGCAGCAAAGCCAACCCACUGGGGAGCCAGGCCCAGCCAAUCAGAAUGAGUUUUCCCCACAAAGGGCUUUAUUACAGACAGAAAACUCCUCAGCACCUCUUCCCUAAAAUGACAUUGUAGGCAGCUUAUGGUAGAGAAAUGAACGUUCAAUUAUCUGCAACAGCUCUGGUGGACAUUCCUGCAGUCGGUGUGCCAAUUGCACGCUCCCUCAAAACUUGAGACAUAUGUGGCAUUGUGUUGUGUGACAAACUGCACAUUUUAGAGUGGCCACAUUUUUCUAUUGUCUCCAGCACAAGGUUCACCUGUGUAAUGAUCAUGUUGUUUUAUCAGCUUCUUGAUAGGCCACACCUGUUAGGUGGAUUGAUUUUCUUGGCUAAGGAGAAGUGCUCACUAACAGGGAUGUAAACAAAUUUGUACACGUUGCUGACAGGUGUAUAAAAUUGAGCACACAGCCAUGCAAUCUCCAUAGACAAACAUUGUCAGUAGAAUGGCCGUACUGAAGAGAUCAAUGACUUUCAACGUGGCACCGUCAUAGCAUGCCACCUUUCCAACAAGUCAGUUCGGCAAAUUUCUGCUCUGCUAGUGCUGCCCCUGUGAUUGUUAUUGUGAAGUGGAAACGUCUAGGAGCAACAACGGCUAAGCCGCAAAGUGGUAGGCCACACAAGCUCACAGACUAAGACUGCCGAGUGCUGAAGCACAAUAACUGUUUGUUGCAAGCAUCAUGAAAUGGGUUUCCAUGGCUGAGCAGCCUCACUCAAGCCUAAGAUCACCAAUGCCAAGCGUCGGCUGGAGUGAAGUAAAGCUCGCCGCCAUUGGACUCUGAAGCAGUGGAAACAUGUUCUCUGAAGUGAUAAAUCACGCUUCACCUGGCAGUCUGACAGACAAAUCUAAGUUUGGUGGAUGCCAGGAGAACACUACCUGCCCGAAUGCCUAAUGCCUACUGUAAAGUAUAGUGGAGGAGGAAUAAUAAUCUGGGGCUGUUUUUCAUGGUUCGGGCUAGGUCCCUUAGUUCCAGUGAAGGUAAAUCUUAACGCUACAGCAUACAAUGACAUUCUCGACGAUUCUGUGCUUCCAACUUUGUUGCAACAGUUUGGGGAAGGCCAUUUAAUGUUUCAGUAUGACAAUGCCCUUGUGCACAAAGUCAGGUCCAUACAGAAAUGGUUUGUCGAGAUCAGUGUGAAAGAACUUGACUGACCUGCACAAAGCCCUGACCUCAACCCCAUCGAAACAUUUGGGAUGAAUUUGAACGCCGACUGUGAGCCAGGCCUAAUCGCCCAACAUCAGUGCCCGAACUCACGAAUGCUGUUGUGGCUGAAUGGAAGCAAGGCUCCACUGCAACGUUCAAACACCUAGUGGAAAUCCUUCCCAGAAGAGUGGAUGCUGUUAUAGCAGCAAAGUAGGGACCAACUCUAUAUUAAUGCCCAUCAUUUAAGAAUUAGAUAUUCGACAAGCAGGUGUCCACAUACUUUUGGCUAUGUAGUGUACAUAUAGCCACGUACUGUACCUGUACAAACCCAUACAAACACAUCUCCAGCUCUAGACAGUGCAUCUUCAGCUCUGGAUGGCUCCAUUGAUAACACAUUCAUGUGGUGUAAGAGAGGAGGGUUAAGUAUUGCCCUUUUAGUUUGAAUGAUCUGUACUGUAUCAUCUCUAUCCUCGUCUAGCAGUGAUAUACUGAGAUUGAGAUUACUGAGAUUUUUCCAAGGAUAUGCUGUCAAUGUAGCUUUCCAAUAAAAAAUAUAUAUUACACAGAUGGUAACCUAGGUUACAAAACUUAGGGAAAACAGUAUCUAAAACCAAUACGUUAAUAAUAUUGAAUUUACUGUACACAUUCACGAGUGACAGUCACUUAUUUAAGGGGUUUUCAAACAUUUCUUUCCAAGGGAUAGUUAAAGGGAUAGUUAGAGAUUUUGGCAAUGACGCCCUUUAUUUACUUCCCCAGAGUCGGAUGAACAGGAACAGCUAAUGUAUUUUUUACUUUUUCUUUUUUGGGGGGCGGACCCCCUGCAGUACCUUCACGGACAGUACUCUGCGGAUCCUACUGACUGGAAGUCUACAGGAACAGUUAGCAUGCUAGCUGUUCAUCUGAAUCGGUAGAAUUAGAUAAAGGGCUUCAUUGCCAAAAUCUCAAACUAUCCCUUUAAUAUGGAGGAAAUUACCAUCAUUGGAGCUAAUUACAAGUUUUUUCCUGUAUAGAAAAUUCUUAGGCGGGCCAUCUAAUUGGUCAUUUUUGGAAUGGAAAAACAGUUUCAGUGUCAACAUAAAUGACCAAAACAAGAUAGAAAGCAUGCAGAAAAGAUAUUGAACAAUAUACAGUAUAUAUAUUUUAUAUAUUUUUAUAAUACCGUCUUUGAGAACUAACUCAAAUAAUACUAGGAGCCAGUUUGAAUCCCCCUUGCUUAGUUAACUCAAUAUGGCUGGCUUCAUAAGGAAACUAUUAGAAGACACUUUUGAGAAAACCAAUCAAGGUAUCAUUGGCUGAGGCAUAUAUGACCUGGCAGGCAUGCUUAUUGCUAUUCUUAACAUGGGCUCUCUUUAAAUGCUCAUUAAAUAUCCUUUUUUAAUUAGGGUAGAGCGAGGAUGGGAGGCUCCUGGUGCAGUAGGCAUCAUCACUGAGAUGUCUGUUUGCCUUUUCAGUUUCCUGCUGGGACACUACUUUAAAGACAUGUAAAAUGGCAGAACUGUAACGAGAUUGGAGGAGAUUCUGGACAUGAUAUAAUUGUCGAGACAGAGUAUCCGAGGCGCACAGAGCUAUCAAAAAAAUAUGGAGGAAAAUGCACUUAAAAGGUGUUGAACAGCAUGGCACUUUUCAAAUGCCAAAUGCAUUAUUUAACAGCUUUGACAGCUGAGGUAUCUUUAGGAAAGGAAUAUAGUCAUGAUGUUUGGUGCAUCUGAAGUGGAGUCAUAUGAUGAAAACACUGACUUCCUAGCAAUAGAAGGAUUGUGUGUUCAAGGCCAGUCUCUCCUCUCGGUUGUUAAUUUAUUUACAGCUCUUGUCUGAAUCCCGGCUCCUCUGCCUCCACAACAUACCCCCGGAAGUUCACCUCUCUCUCCCUCCCUCCCUCUCUCUCUCUUCUUUGAAUAUUUUUUUGACUCGAUUGUGCCUUAAGUGUGAAAACCUGAAGUGCUAAGAAGAGCCAAAUAACCGCUAAUAGUAGAAGGUCUCAGAGAGCCACAAAACAAUUUGCCCUCUCUGUCGGUGUGUCAGCGCUGCAAGCUAAGUCUCGUCUGCCAGUGUCAGAAGGUCUGGGAGAGCUGGCGUAGCAAUGAGGAUGUUUUUCCCGCUCCACAUUCCCAGGAAAAACGCUCCGCUGUGCUCUACUCACGGCCCGCCAGUCUAUUUCUGUAAACCCUGAUUGGCUGGCUGGGAGGGAUCGGUGUCGGCAGGCUGGUUGUGGCACAUGGCAUUCCCUAUCAUCUGUUGCCCGUGUGUUGAGCUGGCUGGAAAUCAGGUCGACCCCCUUUGCAGCUCUGUUUGGUAAUGACUCCCCAACCCUAGAGACAUUUCAACAAUUUCGAAGAUACUCCUUGAGUUGGCACAUCCUGCACUGGCAGCCAGGAAAGGCCCCAAAAUGGAUGUCAAACAUCCAAAGACCUUGUGGUAUUUCCAAAAGGCCCAGGGUUUUUGAUGACUACGAACCAGGCCUGGUUCAAAGCCAACCACACUAUUCACACUCCAAAAAAAGGGGCAACAGAGGGCCGCUGCCCUCGAAAUUACCCUGGAGCAGCCACAAUUACAACCUUUAGAGCGAGGCAGAGUUUUAAAAAGAGCAAAGAGGGGAGGAGAGUUCGUUUUUAAAAAGAGGUCAGAUGAAUGUGAAUUAGGGAUUUGACUGGUUUUGUGAAGGCUUUCAUCUUCACGGCUAUUUUAAAAGCAUGUCAUUAAACACAGAGGGAAGAGUAUGCCAUUUGAAAAAAACAUGCUUAAGCUCUGUGUUGUGAUGGCUGUUUGUUUACUUUUUUAUUUCAUGAAAGCCUGAGAUUACCAUGGCCUAAGCAUCUUAAGAACAUCAUGGAUGGAAUGCACCCUCCGUAUGAAGAUAUGACCUAGAAACAUGGAAUCGUUGCAUUCAAGGCGUGAACACAGCAACUUCCCGCAUACAUAAAACAAUGUUUCCUAACGGUGUACCCCAUUAAUUAGUUGGGAGUUAAUUGCUUUACAGAUGAAGCAUUAAUAUCUCAGCUUGAGCUGGCAUUUUUUAAAUCUUCUGGACCUUUUAUGUACUUAUAUACUAUUAACUUAGCUAAUAUCUUACCUGCAAUGCUGUAUAUCAUAACAGACCACAAUCACUGAGGCUCACUGAGGCCCUUUUCUCUCUGGCCAUAAAGGGAACCGUUUUAAACCGGUUCUUACCGGGGCUGACUGUGCGAGAUACAGGGCUGUUUAUGUCCAAACAAACCAAAUGUAACAGUGUCCGUCCCUCUAAAUAGAUUACAGCUGUGGUGAACCAUACAUGUUUGGGUUGUCAAAGGCACUCAGGGAUACUGCUAUCCUAUAGCUAAAAAGGAUCGAACCAACUGCAGCUUUCAGACAGAGAAUUCAAGCAUUUUGCUGUUUUUUAGAUGUACAGAUGUAGGAUCUUAAUUUGAUCCAGUUUGCUACAGCAGUAUAAUUAUCCUUCAGCAACAGAAAAUGUGAGUUAUGUGGAUUAUAAUUAAUGGACAUAUUUGUAAGGGUUGAUACGUUUUUUUUUGUAAGGGAAAAUCGAGUCUGAAAUUUCAAAGUGGAAAUUACAAACUUUAGAAGCAUUUUUGAACCUCAAAUACACUACAAGUUUUACAUUUCCAACAAAAAAUGUUUUAGGUUAUUAAGGAUUGGCCAGAACUACAUAUAAUGUUUGAAUAACAAAUCACUUAAGACAUAAUAUAUGACUAAUAAGACAAAAUAUAGGCCUUAUAAGCUACUUAUAUACAGUUGAAGUUGGACGUUUACAUACACCUUAGCCAAAUACAUUUAAACUCAGUUUUUCACAAUUCCUGACAUUUAAUCCUAGUAAAAAUGCCCUGUCUUAGGUCAGUUAGGAUCACCACUUUAUUUUAAGAAUGUGAAAUGUCAGAAUAAUAGUAGAGAGAAUGAUUUAUUUCAGCUUUUAUUUCUUUCAUCACAUUCCCAGUGGGUCAGACGUUUACAUACUGUACACUCAAUUAGUAUUUGGUAGCAUUGCCUUUAAAUUGUUUAACUUGGGUCAAACGUUUUGUGUGUCCUUCCACAAGCUUCCCACAAUAAGUUGGGUGAAUUUUUGCCCAUUCCUCCUGACAGAGCUGGUGUAACUGAGUUAGGUUUAUAGGCCUCCUUGCUCGCACACACAUUUUUAGUUCUGCCCACAAAUUUUCUAUAGGAUUGAGAUCAGGGCUUUGUGAUUGCCACUCCAAUACCUUGACUUUGUUGUCCUUAAGCCAUUUUGCCACAACUUCGGCUUGCAAGCCUCCCCCAUUUUCCUCCAAAAAUAGCGAUGGUCAUUAUGGUCAAACAGUUCUAUUUUUGUUUCAUCAGACCAGAGGACAUUUCUCCAAAAUGUAUGAUCUUUGUCCCUAUGUGCAGUUGCAAACCAUAGUCUGGCUUUUUUAUGGCGGUUUUGGAGCAGUGGCUUCUCCCUUGCUGAGCGGCCUAUCAGGUUAUGUCGAUAUAGGACUCGUUUUACUGUGGAUAUAGAUACUUUUGUACCUGUUUCCUCCAGCAUCUUCACAAGGUCCUUUGCUGUUGUUCUGGGAUUGAUUCGCACUUUUCGCACAAAAGUACGUUCAUCUCUAGGAGACAGAACGCGUCUCCUUUCUGAGCGGUGUGACGGCUGCAUGGUCCCAUGGUGUUUAUACUUGCGUACUAUUGUUUGUACUGAUGAACGUGGCACCUUCAGGCGUUUGGAAAUUUCUCCCAAGGAUGAACCAGACUUGUGGAAGUCUACAUUUUUCUUCUGACGUCUUGAUUGAUUUCUCAGAGCAAAGAGGCACUGAGAUUGAAGGUAGGCCUUGAAAUACAUCCCCAGGUACACCUCCAAUUGACUCAAAUUAUGUCCAUUAGCCUCUCAGAAGCUUCUAAAGCCAUGACAUAAUUUUCUGGAAUUUUCCAAGCUGUUUAAAGACACAGUCAACUUAGUGUAUGUAAACAUCUGACACUGGAAUUGUGAUACAGUGAAUUAUAAGUGAAAUAAUCUGUCUGUAAACAAUUGUUGGAAAAAUUACUUGUGUCAUGCAACAAGAAAUUUGUGGAGUGUUUGAAAAACGAGUUUUAAUGACUCCAACCUAAGUGUAUGUAAACUUCCAACUUCAACUGUACAUACUUAUAAACUACAAAUUAGUGGCUAAUACAGUAUGUGUACCUUAAAAUUAAGUGUUACCAAUUGGGUAUUGAAUGUUAUCGAUGGACGCAGCAUUAGGCUGCGAUGGACACAGCUUUAGGCUGCGAUGGACACAGAACCUAGGAUACACAGCCUGCUUCUGCUCAACAUUCGAACUCGAGAAGAAAUCAGGGGGCUGCUGCAGUUCGAGAACGAUAUGUGCUUAUCUCCUCGUCAGUGAAGUCAUUCCACAAAGAGUCAUUCACAAUCUAGUGCGGUUACGAUAGCACCUUGUUUUCUAAGAGUGUAGACAUUGUUUCAAAGGUAGCAAUAAAUAAUCUUAUUUUUUGUAUGCCUAGCAGUCACAAAUGUACAUUGUUUGAAGUACACUUUUAUAAGUCUCUUAGUCACAUCUCUCCAUCAAUAAGCCCCCUAUGGCGAGAAUCAUGACUCUUUCAAGUUUUGAGGGCUCUGGGCAUUUCUGAAUCAAAUGAAAAUGUGUUAUUUUGACUGAACGAGUUGAAAAGAUCAGAGUCAGUAAAAAAAAACGGAACUUCCCAUCACUACAGUGUUGCCUCUUCGCCCUAUAACAUAGUAGGGGGAACUUUAUGGGGUCAAUUUAAUAUGACAUCAUUCUAAAUGGCCACCAUAAAUCAAGGAUUCCUGGUUACUAAAUGGGUGGGACCCUUUAUGCAAAUGAGUCCGUAUAAACCUUUUCUAGAAAAGAUGCUUCAUCUGUAGAUGCUAUUAUACAUUUAUUGGUCUUUAUGAAUUCACAAACUAGUAUGUCUGGGCUCUACUGUAAGGCUUCAGUGUGCUUGUAGGAAUUCAGCCUUUCAGUAAAAACUGAUAAAGAAAACAUGUUCAGAGUGGCCCAGUGGUCUAAGGCACUGCAUCUCAGUGCAAGCAGGCAUCAUUAUAGUACCUGGUUAGAGUCCAGGCUGUAUCACAACUGGCCGUGAUUGGGAGUCCGAUAGGGCGGCGCGCAAUUGGCCCAGCGUCGUUGGGGUUUGGCCAGAGUAGGCCGACAAUCAAUCAAUCAAAUUUAUUUAUAAAGCCCUUACAUCAGCUGAUGUCACAAAGUGCUGAAUAGAAACCCAGCCUAAAACCCCAAACGGCAAGCAAUGCAGGUGUAGAAGCACGAUGGCUAGGAAAAAAUCCCUAGAAAAGCUGGAACCUAGGAAGAAACCUAGAGAGGAAGCAGGCUAUGAGGGGUGGCCAGUCCUCUUCUGGCUGUGCCAGAUUCUUGAAAAUAAGAAUUUGUUCUUAACUAGUUAAAUAAAGGUUAAAUAACAAUAACAAAAAAAAUUAAAGGGCUAUUGGCUCAUUGAAAAUGAGGAGGUCUAUGGGCCAAUUCACCUCUAAUGAAUUGUCCUCCACUGUAAACAUGGAUGGUGGAAAUUGUAGUAGAGCACAGGUCAGGAUGACUAUCUAUUCUGAUGUCUGUUGACAGAGUGAAACAAAGAGAGAGUGAGAGAGAGAGAGAGAGAGAGAGAGAGAGAGAGAGAGAGAGAGAGUUGAGCUUCUUUAGCUGUCAAGACAUUGCAGAUCCAACCGCUCAGAGGGGUUCCUCUGCUCUGAGUGUGGUUCAGCCAGGCAGGUUUAAUUGUAUUGAGGCUAAUAUCAGUCUAAUGGAAAGCAGCUGCAGAGAGGGCUGACUAACAUAGAGAUGGUUUACAUUAAGUACUUGGUCACAGGGACGCCUUGUCUUCUAACACUAACAUGCAUGUCUGUGUCUCGGACUGCCAGGGGUAAGCAGCUCAGUCAAUAUACUUCUACAUCACAUAGAGAGAAAACAGUUUGCAGGACACAAAAGAGGACUGAACGCCAAGGAAGCUCCAACUGCUUUCCAGUGCCUCCCUCCCCCCCUUCUCACAGUGAACUGUGUAUGGGAUCCUCAAUAAGCAUUUCAUCUUUUUUGCUUUCUUGUUCUCUCUCACUCUUACUGUACAAUUCAUCUGAGCCAUUUGGUGUUGUGUACACUGUGAAGUGGUAGAACAUUUGAGCUCUCAACAAAUAUAUGGGCUCCUGUGGAAUUAACUGAGUGUUGAUCCACAAGCACAGUAUUGGAUCGAAAGCCUCCUCUUUUGAACAGCCUGGUAACAGCCUGAAGGUCUUACGUCAAUGCUUUCUCCACAUUUGCUGCUUGAGUUACCAUGAAAAAAAGACAGCAAAGGAACGAAAACAGAGCAGACUUACGGCACUGAGGUAAGCAAGCCAAUCUUCCUCUUGAAGAAGUGUAAGUAUUGCAGAGGCUGGCAGGGGCUAAGGUGAUUGCCGAAGCCAUAUGGCUCAGCCAGGCGCCAGGCAGAACAGUGGAGAUCAAUGUGUUCAGGUAGCCUGUCAGCUGCCAUUGUGUGUCUGUGCCUCAGAGAGAGAGAGAGAGUAGUGGUAGUAGACAGGCCCCAUCUAUCCCAUCCAACCCCCCUGCAUCUAAUCAGAUCCCUGCUCGAGUGUCGCAGAAAGUAUCCCAUGCUGGAAUGCUUAUGUGUUUAUUGCUACUGCUUUGAUUCAUUAAGGCACUACUCUCUCAUUCUCCUCCCACCCCCCCACACUCUUAACACCAUGACUGGGCUGUAGACCAUGUGAGAGCUGGGUAAUCGAGGGAGCCAGGAUGCUUUUGAGAAGAUUCCCCAGGUGCCUAAGUGUCAUUGUUUGUGGAAUUACCCUUGCAGUUGUCCUUUUGAAAAUGGGGGUGAGCCCAUGCCAGCUUUCACUGCAGACAGUAAUCAGGCAGCUUUGAUGUGCACCCCUGGUUUUACCCUCUCCUAAGUUUUUUCCUCCUGUCUAGACAUUGUUGUGUGCCAGACAAUCACCAUUGACGAGUCCUUUACAGCACAGUUGUACUAUGAGGAGCGUCAACAAACACAUUUUAUUAGGACCAUUUAUUGAAUUGCAGCUGCUAUUCAUCUGUCCAAAAAAUAAAUAAAUAUGUUAUCGGCUCUACUGAAUCAAAACCCCGAUUGUGGAGGGUUAUUUUGUGAAGAGGAUAUGUUUUCAAUACCACCACUUCAAUAAACAUAUUGAAGAUGUCUCAGACUGCCUUUGGUGUUAGACAGUAAAGUACAGCAAAUGAAAACAACACAAUUGUGUUAUAUUUCAGUUGUAUUUGAAAUACAUAUUAGUCCAUCUGUUUGAGUAUUAAGGUGAUUGACAGUUACUGUGGCUUUAACUGUUUUAAUGCUAAUGAGCUCGACCAUUGGGACAUUACAUUAUUAUGCCAAGAAAUGCAAUACCCAUUAAAAAAGUAGUCUCGCCGGAUUACUUUAAUUCAGGGGAAUAGAUGUAUUGAUUUGCUGUCAUAACUAGGCCAACUGUAAGACAUUUCAGCCCAUUACACAUAAUGGCCCAUAGAUUAAGUUAAUCAAAUGAAUUGUAAGGACUGCACCGGAUUUGGAGCAGCUAUGAGAGCAGGUGGCAUAACGUUGUGCCAAGUGUCCAAAAGGCAGAAAUAAAGUAUCAAAAUUGAAAUCGUUGUGCCGAAAUCUAAAAACGUUGUUUGAACGGCUUGAACUGUCUGUGAAGAGAUAAAGUGAUCUCUCAAGACAUAUUUUGGAACGGCUGCAUCUUUCACCUGUGAAGAAAUUGUUUCUAUGUAAAUCGAAUUCUCUCUUAGCUAACAGGAGAAGAAAUCUAAAUUGCCAAGUGUUUGCAGUUGAGGUUUGGAGCGACAGUCAACUAUCCACUCGUGGUUGUGCUCACAGCUCAGACAAUGUGCAGUCAGGUUAAAUCUAAACCCUGUAGUUCUGUAGAUGUCGCGACUUACUAUCUGGAGCCACAGAACCAGACAAUGCUUUCAGUGACUAGAUUACUGGCAGUUGUGGUCUGCUGAUAGUCAAGGUAACCUGAGCCAAACACAGAUUGCAUGGAAUUGAGGCUUCUGAGAUCUUGGGAGAGGUCAUUAGCAUAUAUCGGAUGUAACCUUUGUUUCUAACCUUGAACACUUACAUGAUAGAUGGAGUAAACCAGAGAAGAGGGAUGAGCAUGUCAAAUGCGUGCAAAGCAAGAAGAGCAUAUCUACACUUGGUAGGUGUUGGUUGUCAUGGCAGUAUCUUCGGACAGGGAAUUGCCAGGGACCUCACGAAAUGAUAUUAACACGAUACUUAGGUGCCGAUACAUUUUUACAUUUUAGUCAUUUAGCAGACGCUCUUAUCCAGAGCGACUUACAGUAGAGUGCAUACAUUUUAUUACAUUUUACGUAUUGAGACAAGGAUAUCCCUACCGGCCAAACCCUCCCUAACCCGGACGACACUAUGCCAAUUGUGCGUCGCCCCACGGACCUCCCGGUUGCGGCCGGCUGCGACAGAGCCUGGGCGCGAACCCAGCCCAGCCUGGGCGCGAACCCAGAGACUCUGGUGGCGCAGCUAGCACUGCGAUGCAGUGCCCUAGACCACUGCGCCACCCGUAUUGCGAUUAUCACAAUUCUAUAUGUAUUGCGAUUCAAUACUGUGAUUUUAUUGCGAUUGCAUGGUCCUAACAUAUUUCUCACCAUAUGUCUGCUGCAGAGGGACAAGAGAGAGCCAUUAGAAAAUGAGUAUUAAUCAGUCAUGAAAAUAAAAGUGAUGAUAACAAUUUGGUUUGUUUUGGUGCAGGUACAGCCAACUACAGAAAACAUUAUUUUGCGAUAUUGUCAAAACAAUACAAUGUAUCGUAAAAAUAAUAUCCCGAAAUGUAACUGUAGUGAUUUUUCCCCCCGCAUCACUACAGUAUCAUGGCUAAAACACAACAACAGUUCAUGAGGAGGUAAGGAGAGGUAUUCACCAAAACGGUCAGCUUUUCGAAUCUAGUAUGUGUGCAUACUGAACAGCUUUAUAGACUCAGCUCUCAUUGGAGGAUCUCGCCAGUAAUCUACUGGUCAGGGUGAAAAUAGUGUCACAUGCUGUCAACUGGGUCAUAUUCUAUUUCCAUGGCAGGGUAUGAUAAUCUUCACAUACUGAGAAAUGAGCAUGUCCUAGACCAUUGUUUCCCGACCCUGAUCCGCGAGUACCCCUAAAAGUACAAGUUUUCAUUGUAGCCCUGGACAAGCACACCUGAUUCAACUUGUCAACUAAUCAUCAAGCCCUCAAUGAGUUGAAUGAGGUGUGUUUGUCCAGGACUACAACAGAAAUGUGUACUAUCGAGGACCAGGGUUGGGAAACACUGUCCUAGACAUGUACUUGAGAUUCAUGGUCUGUCGCUGAAACAUUUCUAGGUCAAACAUCCAACUAGGCUUUACAUGAUUAUGUUCAUUGAUCCCAUCUAAUGAAUGAUCAUGAAACCAUCUUUGCGAUCGUGGCACUGCUAUUUGUGUGAAAGGUGAGAAGACAUUCACUGAGAGGCCUCCUUAGAAUGCAGCAAAUAAGUCUUCCCUUAAUUUAUGUUUCUACACUGCUCUGUCCCAUUUUAAUGGGCCCAAUUCAUCUCUUUGAUCCUUGAAAGGCAAUCUACAAAGACCUAUUAGCACUCCCCUAAAUCUGCUUAUUCAAGGGGAACAUCCUCACACACAGAAAAGCCCUGUUGACUGUUUCAGUACCAUUCAUUUGUAAGUAGCAAAUGUUUUCUUUCUCUCUUUUUUUGCUGCCAAUUUAUUUAUUUAUUUUCCCAUCGGUAGUUGACAUACGAGUCUGUCUAAUUGGCAGGGGGGUAGGGAGAAGAGAAGACCCCUCAGACAGUGAGAUUGGGUUAAGAUUAAAUAAUUGUAUGCAUAAACAUUAAGCCGAAGGCUGCUCAUCGAUUGCUGGAUGUGUUUUCAUUAGCAUGAGUCACGCGUUGCCCUGAACACAUUGAGACAGGGAAUUGAACCCAGUGUGCUGAGCUAGGGUGUAAAAAGAGAGAAGAAUAACAGGUUGGUAAAGCCACCCAAAAAUUCUUCAUUAGACUUCUGGAUCUCAAUCGGUGCGUAUUAAAUGAGCUGGCUACACGGUGUAAAUGAGCUGGCUACACGGUGUACUAAGAGUUUACUUUAACUGACUCUAAACAGAGACCCGGAGGCUUAGAGAGGUGAAGGUGGCAGCCUUUUAGCUCCUCAUCACUUCUCUAGUGCUCGGGGUGGGUCAAACCCGGAGGAUUUAACAACCAACCCCUGAGAUCAUACUGUGAAGGAUUGUGCUAUAACUCAACAAGUACGAUCAGGGCCUUGUCGGCAGUAUUAUUACUGCCCCCUGCACACUCAGCAGCUUUAGAAGAGAACUACCCUCUGAAGCAAACUGAAUUUUCAGAGUUGAAGGCACCCCCAAGAACAAUAGCAAAUUCCUUUAGUCAUGAAUCACAUAUUGCUACUGAGUACACAUGGAUCAUAUUCCUAGAUUCGGUUCCACAAAUACUCCUAUUUUAAGUCUCAGCACAGUUCCCCUCCAGUGGUCAUCUGCAUGGUGUUUUUUUCCAGCUGUGGUCUGACUUGGCAGUGAAUAGAUUUCCCUCAUGUGCUCUACUAAAGACAUUCAGAUGCCUUUUCCCCCCUCUUGGCUCGGUGAACAAAGCAAAAGAAACCUUAGCUCCUCCAACCUUGAAGUUGCCCAGGAGUUCAGGAUUGAUAGUGUAUCCGAUAAACAUUUAAAACAUUGAAGUUGCCCAGGAGUUCAGGCUCGAUAGUGUAUCUGAUUAACAUUUAAAACCUUGAAGUUGCCCAGGAGUUCAGGCUCGAUAGUGUAUCCGAUAAACAUUUAAAACCUUGAAGUUGCCCAGGAGUUCAGGCUCGAUAGUGUAUCCGAUAAACAUUUAAAACCUUGAAGUUGCCCAGGAGUUCAGGCUCGAUAGUGUAUCUGAUAAACAUUUAAAACCUUGAAGUUGCCCAGGAGUUCAGGCUCGAUAGUGUAUCUGAUAAACAUUUAGAACCUUGAAGUUGCCCAGGAGUUCAGGAUUGAUAGUGUAUCUGAUAAACAUUUAAAACCUUCAAGUUGCCCAGGAGUUCAGGAUUGAUAGUGUAUCCGAUAAACAUUUAAAACCUUGAAGUUGCCCAGGAGUUUAGGCUCGAUAGUGUAUCUGAUAAACAUUUAAAACCUUCAAGUUGCCCAGGAGUUCAGGAUUGAUAGUGUAUCUGAUAAACAUUUAGAACCUUGAAGUUGCCCAGGAGUUCAGGAUUGAUAGUGUAUCUGAUAAACAUUUAGAACCUUGAAGUUGCCCAGGAGUUCAGGAUUGAUAGUGUAUCUGAUAAACAUUUAAAACCUUCAAGUUGCCCAGGAGUUCAGGAUUGAUAGUGUAUCCGAUAAACAUUUAAAACCUUGAAGUUGCCCAGGAGUUCAGGCUCGAUAGUGUAUACGAUAAACAUUUAAAUCCUUGAAGUUGCCCAGGAGUUCAGGCUCGAUAGUGUAUCUGAUAAACAUUUAAAACCUUGAAGUUGCCCAGGAGUUCAGGCUCGAUAGUGUAUCUGAUAAAUUCUUAAAGAGUUUAAUCGAGCUCCCGCACGGACAGUCUCUUUUUGUUCUGAGGAGCUAAGAAAAUGAAAUGAAAUGACAAUACUUAGCUACAGGCCUUAAUUGAUGUCUUUAUCUCUUUCCUUCCGCUCUGGCAAAAGGUAGUAAUUACAGAAUCAGUUAGAAAGAAAGUGAAAACUGUGGAGAAGUGUGCUUUUCCCGGUAUUUUUAUGGAAAUAUGCGUCCUUUCAAAUACUUGUGUAUAUCCAUCCCUUAAGCACGUCUUAGUAGUGAGAGACAAAUUGGUUUGACACUAGUAGAGACACACAUCCUCUUUGCUAAGUGACAUACUCUGCAGCUUGAUCGAUGAAGGGAAAUGGUCAAUCCAAUUAGAUUGAUUUAACAUGAGCAUUAUUGAAUUAAAAGUCUUUCAGCUUUCCCAUUGAUCCUGCCAGAGCUUAGGCCUAGUAGGCACUGUACAUAUCUAGAAGGCCACGCCCUCUUUACAGGACAAUACAUGUGGAUACGAGCCCGGGUUAAAUUGUAGUAAUGGGGGGAAAAAGCUAUACAGUUUACAUAUCUCAAUAGUUUUUGGGGACAAUAUGGAACUUGUUUCAGGAAACUAGGUGUAUGUCGCAAGCCACUACUUUACAGAAGAGGCAUUAGAAUGUUUUCUUUUUUUAUCAAAAUGCAUUUUUGGGGCAGAAUGCCUUCUGGAACACGUGUACUUUCAUGUGCCUUAAUAACAAACUUGCAUGCCAUCUGUAAAUACGAAUAAAAAAGAAUAAUCACAAGCCUAGAUUUUUUUAGCCACAGAAAAAGUUAGGAACCUUCCCGCUAGACAUGAUUGGCUGAGAUAAUGAAUGUGCUGGACAAGCCGAGAGAUGAGUUCGGAUUGAUCUGCCAUGUAGCACAUUCUGUCUAUAACAUAACCUGCUCGGUAUGUGUAGAUACUCCUUUCUACUGCAGCUUUUUUUAAAGAUAUCAUCGAGGUGUUUCUCCGGAUUACAUAUUCAAACUAAGAGCAAAAAUGGAAUCCAUGACAGAGGGAAAAAGAUCUGAUGAUUCUUAUGGCAUUGCACACGAUCAGUGUGAACCAGAGUCACUUGACACAACGGGCCAAGUAAGCUGUACAAACGAAACGGAAACAACACAGGACGUCUAAUUUAAUGAAAUGGGUUGCAGUCUGCCGUGAAGCGUUCAUCCAUGUAUACGGGUAAGAAUACAGCUACAUUUUCAGAUAUUAUACAUUUCUAAUUUAGUCAGGUAGUCGUUUUCAUUGCAAGUUAAAGCUAGCUAGCUAACAUUAGUUGGCUGGCUCACUAGCUAACAUUACGUUUAUGAUCUGUGUAUUAAUAUUAUCUCAUGAAGCCAUUUGCAUUGCUAGUUAUAGCCUAAUGUUAGCUAACUAACUUUGAACCUAGUUGGUUAGCUUUAACUAGCUAUGACAAUCGGUUUGUAUUGCUUGUACUCUAUGGGUUGGGGUUAUGGUUCAUUGUUUAGCUAGCUACAUGUCUAAACAAGACUCCACUUCGGCAGAUGAUUACAUGACUAAUCAAGUUAGUCAGGUGUGUAUGGCGAUGAUUACGGCUAUCUAUAGUAUAAUAAUGCUAAGAUAUUUGUAUCUGGAAUUUGUCUUUCAGCAUCCGUAGAACACGACAGACUCUCCUCCACCAGUCAUACAAGGAGAAUGGUCUAAUGCCUCUCAUCAAAAAGAGAUCCGGCCCAAGCAAGCGCAGGUUACACCUGAAGCAUGAGGACUUGCAGCGAGUUGUGAACUUCAACAACUUCGCAGAGGAUAAUGCAAUAAUAUUACCAGGACGUCACCCAGGACACAAACACUUUGGUGGAAAGCUGCUGCUAUCCCAUGUGACAAAAGCAGCAGUGUGGUGUCUCUACAAGGAAUCGAUGAUAACACUUGAGGUACAUGUAGUCGGGCUUUCUUCCUUCAGGAAUCUGUGGAGAGAUUGCUGGUGUGGUGAAGGACAGCACUGUGACGGGACAACAUCCCACUGUUGGUUGGACUGGAGCUUUGAUGCUCUGGAGCCUGGUGUUGUUGUCGCCAAAGGAGCAGCGACAGUCGGGACCAGGUUUCAGCUGCUGCGCAAUGCCGAUGUCCUUUCUCCCAUAAAUGGUCUGCCUGUACAAGCACCACCUGGACACAACUAGACAAAGAUAUAUUUUUGAGAAGAUUAGGGAAUUUUGCGACAAGGAGGCCAUGGACUUCAAAUCUUCUUAACCAAAUUAAAGGGCAGGACAGAAACAGGCUCUACGAAUAUACAUGCCCUUGUUCAUGCGUGGUGCGGAUGGACCAUUUCAUCACUGGGGGCCGAGUUCCCAUUCAUCCGGACUCUCUCUAGUAGCAGCACAUCACUCUCCCCCUCACUCUCCCCCUAACACACAUAACAUACGUUGCUGCUACAAUUGUUUUUUAUCACGCUGCUCAGCCACUUUACCCCUUAUUGUAUGCAUAUAACUUCAUUGUCUAUCAAAAGUAUCACUGAUAUCGUUAUUGAUAUUGUUCGUGUACAUACUGUAUAUUUUGUUCUUUCUCUUACUGGCACUUUGACACUUUUGUUUAUUUUUAUUGAUACUUUAGGUUUUUGAUAUUGCUACUUUGCAAGUAACCAUUUCACUGUAUUGUGUACACCUUCUGUACUCUUAACAAGAUGUGACUGGCAUUUAUAGCAUUUCUUUCACAGGACCCAUCAAUUUAGACAUUUGUCUGGGGUAAGCAUCAUCUAAUAUUUAUAAAAUAUUUUUAUCUGGACACUUUGUUUUUGAUAUUGUUACUUUACAAAUAUGCAUGUAACCAUUUCACUGUACCGUUUACACCUUCUGUAUGUGACAAAUAAACUUUGAUUUUGUUUGAUAUAGUGUGUGUUUACGAGACGGUAAUGGGAAGAACAACAAGACCUGCACCUAAGUCAGAUUAGGAUAUAGGCCAAGGACUAGAUGAAGUGUAUUUUUACCUGGAGUUUUUCCUUAUUGUAGGCUACUACUUUUAGUCUUGAAAUAUUUAGUUGUUUACUAUACUGUUUAGCACAUGGCCUGACAUGUGAAUCCUUAAAGAAAUGGGUGGUGCUAAGGCUUCACAGGGUGUGAACAUGCUGAAUGUGUUGUCAAAGAAGAACUCUCCAGUAGGUGUACCAAAACAUUCAAUGGCCAUUUUCUCAAAUGGGGUUACAAGUUUAUCAACUUCCAAAGCAGAAUUACUUUCCCAUUGUUCCUCAACAACAGUUUAUUAUAUACCAUUUUCUAGCUCUGAGUCUCUACUUUUAUCCAUUGUAAAAAAACAAAAGCAAAAAUAAUAAUAAAAAAUAAUAGUUCCUCUGUCUAGUGUCUGUGUUCUUUUGCCCAUCUUAAUCUUUUCUUUUUAUUGGCCAGUCUGAGAUAUGGCUUAUUCUUUGCAACUCUGCCUAGAAGGCCAGCAACCCGGAUUCGCCGCUUCACUAUUGAUGUUGAGACUGGUGUUUUGCGGGUACUAUUUAAUGAAGCUGCCAGUUGAGGACUUGUGAGGCGUCUGUUUCUCAAACUAGACACUCUAACGUACUUGUCCUCUUGCUCAGUUGUGCACCGGGGCCUCCCAUUUCUCUUUCUAUUCUGGUUAGGGACAGUUUGCGCUGUUUUGUGAAGGGAGUAGAACACAGUGUUGUACGAGAUCUUAAAUUUCUUGGCAAUUUCUCGCAUGGAAUAGCCUUCAUUUCUCAGAGCAAGAGUAGACUGACGGGUUUCAGAAGAAAGUUCUUUGUUUCUGGCCAUUUUGAGCCUGUAAUCGAGCCACAAAUGCUGAUGCUCCAGAUACACAACUAGUCUUAAGAAGGCCCGUUUUAUUGCUUCUUUAAUCUGAUCAACAGUUUCAGCUGUGCUAACAUAAUUGCCAAAGGGUUUUCUAAUGAUCAAUUAGCAUUUUAAAAUGGUAAACUUAGCUAACACAAUGUGCCAUUGGAAUACAGCAGUGAUGGUUGCUGAUAAUUGGCCUCUGUACGCCUAUGUAGAUAUUCCAUAAAAAAUCUGCCCUUUCCAGCAACAUUAGUCAUUUACAACAUUAACAAUGUCUACACUGUAUUUCUGAUCAAUUUGAUGUUAUUUUAAUGGAAAAAAAAUGUGCUUUUCUUUCAAAAACAAGGACAUUUCUAAGUGGUAGUGUAUAUGUUUUUUAUUUUUAAUAAUUUUGCUAGCAUUUCUAAGAAACUGUUUUCGCUUUGUCAUUAUGGGGUAGUGUGUAGAUUGAUGAGGAAAUUAUUUAAUUUAAUCAAUUUUAGAAUAACAUUAAUGUAACAAAAUGUGGAAAAAGUCAAGGGGUCUGAAUAAUUUCCAAAUGCACUGUAUAGUGUGCAAUGUUUGGAACAUCAAAUGGCAAUAAAAUACACAAUAUUUAAUCACAAUACUUCUAGAAUCGUGAGAAUCGCAAUACAUAUUGUAUCUGCACCUAAGUAUCGUGAUAAUAUCGUAUUAUGAAGUUCCUGGCAAUUUCCAGCACUAGUAAAUUGCAUUUGACCUGCAUGUAAUGCUUAAAUCAGAAGACACUCUCCCAGAGGGUAAAGUGACCCGGUUUUAAAAAUGUCCGAUACGGUUGCGUUGAGCACUUACAAUAAAAACAUUUUUUCAUGAGAACGAUCAGGACAUGUUAUUGCUCUAUGCUCAAGCUAAUUCAUAAAAAUAGUUCCUUGGCUGAACCCGCCACUCGUGUUACAGUUGUUCCCUCACAAAGAACCUUUUGUUCUUCGGUGCCAUUCGCCGCUGAGUUUUUGUUACUGUGUCAUCCGUGUAAGUGUCAUCGCCAAGUCAAAGCUAUUCUAUUUUCUUUCAUGUCCACAUUUGAGCUGCCUGGAGUGUUGUGUUAACACUGGCCAGUUGCCCCUUACAAACGCCCUCACCCUUACCCCCCGCAUACAGGAACCUUUCGAAACGUGUUGGGGAAUAAGGUUACAUUACUGAACUAUACCCCUAUGGAGAGCUAGAAACUCUAAAGAAAGCUGAUUUGGAUGCAUAAUUAAUGCUGAACUUAACUUGGGACAGGUUAUAGUUGUAGCAUAUUGCUUCGCUGAACAAAGUGGCUCUAAGUUUGUCCUUCAUUACCUCCCUCCUGCCAUUUAAAGCCUAUAUGGCCUGUCUUUUUGUGACGGAAGCCUGGUGUCCAGUUCUACUUCUUUGGCUUUUCCCUCCAUUUUGUGCCGCUUUUGUCUAGACAGCUGUGGGUAGCCGGGGUCUUUGUGUUCUUGCAUUGAGCUCCCAUACGUUACAAAGUGAGGGGAGAUACCCCUUAUGCUACCAGUUGCCAGAAACUCAGCUGCCACUGUAACUGAAUCAGUGGCCGUCCCAGCAAUUGCCUGAUUGGUUAGAUAAGAUUCAAAAAGCAUCUCUUUAUUUGGGAGAAAUGAUGACCGAAGUUGGGAGUGGGCUAGGCUCCCUGGCUUUAAAGUAAUUCAUAAAAAGUGGCUUUACAUAUUUCUCUGCAUUAUUAUCUUAUUGUUGUGAAGCUGACUGGAGAUGUUUAAUAUGGUUUAGUCAAGCUGAUGGGCUAUGCAUCCAUUAUGUAUGACUGCUCUAUAUAUGGUCGUAUUCACAGCCUGUUCGUUACAAGGGAAUAAUCCCCAGCCCAGCUGCAUCGACCACACGCUCCCCCUUUUAAAGAGGGUGCUUUAUGGUAGAAGGCCUCUCUUAAUUUAUGGCUCCUGGUGGGCCUCUUAAAUAGCGUAUGAACCUGAGAAGAGUAGACAGAGACGUGGGCAGUACAUUGUGUCAUCUCAUUCCCCACACAGAUUUAAAAGCCCUCCUUGGCUAUCUGGUGCAGACAGACAAUCAGUUGGAAUGUCUGUCCCACCAGCCCAGUAUGGGUCGGUCACCCAGCUCUCGUUUAGUAUCUAAUUCAUGCUGUUCCUCAACACAUGUUUUAAUAGAUCUUUACAUAUUUCGUGGCCUCAUUUGGGUCCUUUUGGUACUAUUCGCCAGUCCAGACUCCAAGGGGGAUUUAUUUGGCUUUCUUUGUGCCUGUGUUAACAAAAACAAGACCGUAAUCAAACCCCACCUUGAAGGUUUGAACUCACAGCCUGCAUUCAGUUCUUCCUGAUAAAAAAUAUCAAUAUUCUAUUUUGAUAUGAGCCAUGAUCCCUACCCGGAGAACCAUUUAUUGGAAUGAUUUCAAGCCUGCCAUAGUGUUUGUGUUUCCAUGCCAAUUGUCAUUUCUGCAUGUGGGGAGAAAAUAUGCUCACCUCGGUUCAUUUGUUUUUAAUAUCACAGAUUGUGGGCCGCUAACCUAGGCUAAUGCUGGUGAGCUAUAGAUGUUUGCCUCCCAUACAUUUUGGGCCAGCAGCAUACCACUUUGCAUACCACCCUGCAACCCUGCUGUCUUGCCUCUGACACUAAGCAGCGUUGGUCCUUGUCCGUCCCUGGAUGGGAGACCAGAUACUGCUGGAAGUGGUGUUGGAGGGCCAGUAGGAGGCACUCUUUCCUCUGGUCUAAAAUAAAAUAUCCCAGUGCCCCAGGGCAGAGAUUGGGGACAGUGCACAGGGCACUGUCCCCAAUUGGCUAAUUCCUCCCCCCUCCUCUCCCCUGUAAUUAUUCUCCAGUUUGUUGCUGUAAAUGAGAGUGUUCUUAGUCAACUUACCUGGUAAAAAAAACAAUGAUAUAUAUACAUAUGGACAUAUUUGGACAGACCUACUCAUUCCAUUUUUUUUUUUUUAUAUAUUUUCUACAUUGUAGAAUAAUAGUGAAGGCAUCAAAACUAUGAAAUAAUGCAUAUGGAAUCAUGUAGUAACCAAAAAAGUAUUAAACAAAUCAAAAUAUAUUUUAUAUUUGAGAUUCUUCAAAGUAGCCACCCUUUGCCUAUUUGGUCUGGCUAGACUGUAAACUCUCCUUCCAGACUCAUAUUAAGCAUCUCCAAUCCAAAAUUAAAUCUAGAAUUGGCUUCCUAUUUCGCAACAACGCCUCCUUCACUCACGCUGCCAAACAUACCCUCGUAAAACUGACUAUCCUACCAAUCCUCGACUUCGGCGAUGUCAUUUACAAAAUAUCCUCCAACACUCUACUCAGCAAACUGAAUGCAGUCUAUCACAGUGCCAUCCGUUUUGUCACCAAGGCCCCAUAUACUACCCACCACUGCGACCUGUAUGCUCUCGUCGGCUGGCCCUCGCUACAUAUUCGUCGCCAGACCCACUGACUCCAGAUCAUCUAUAAGUCUUCGCUAGGUAAAGCUCUGCUUUAUCUCAGCUCACUGGUCACCAUAACAACACCCACACGUAGCACGCGCUCCAGCAGGUAUAUCUCACUGGUCAUCCCCAAAGCCAACACCUCUUUUGGCCACCUUUCCUUCCAGUUCUCUGCUGCCAAUGACGGGAACGAAUUGCAAAAAUCGCUGAAUUUGAUGACUUAUAUCUCCCUCACCAACUUUAAGCAUCAGCUAUCUGAGCAGCUUACCGAUCGCUGCAGCUGUGCACAGCCCAUCUGUAAAUAGCCCAUCCAACUACCUACCUCAUCCCCAUAUUGUUUUUAUUAACUUUUUUUGCUCUUUUGCACACCAGUAUUUCUACUUGCACAUCAUCAUCUGCACAUCUAUCACUCCAGUGUUAAUUUGCUAAUUUGUAAUUACUUCGCUACUAUGGCCUAUUUAUUGCCUUGCCUCCUGACUGUACUUUUGUUUAUCCCUGUGUUGUUGUUUUUUGUCGCACUGCUUUGCUUUAUCUUGGCCAGGUCGCAGGUGUUCUCAACUUGUUCUCAACUGGCCUACCUGGUAAAAUAAAGGUGAAAUAUAUAUAUUUUUAAAUGACAGCUUUGCACACUCUUGGCAUUUUCUCAAUCAGCUUCAUGAGGUAGUCACCUGGAAUGUACUUCAAUUAACAGGUGUGCCUUGUUUAAAGUUAUUUCCUUCUUAAUGUGUUUGAACCAAUUAGUUGUGUCGUGCCAAGGUAGGGGUGGUAUACAGAAGAUAGCUCUAUUUGGCAAAAGACCAAGUCCAUAUUAUGGCAAGAACAGCUCAAAUAAGCAAAGAGAAACGACAGUUCAUCAUGAAGGCCAGUCAAUCCGGAAAAUUUCAAGAACGUUGAACGUUUCUUCAAGUGCAGUCGCUAACAGCAUCAAGCACUAUGAUGAAACUGGCACUCACAAGGACCGCCACAGGACAGGAAGACCCAGAGAUACCUCUACUGAUAAGUUCAUUAGAGUUACCAGCCUCAGAAAUUGCAGCCCAAAUAAAUGCUUCACAGAGUUCAAGUAACAGACACAUCUCAACAUCAACUGUUCAGGCCUUCAUGGUUGAAUGCUGCUACUAAACCACUACUAAAGGACACCAAUAAUAAGAAGAGACUUGCUCAGGCCAAGAAACACAGGCAAUGGACAUUAGACCAGUGGAAAUCUGUCCUGCGCUUAGUGGGACUAUCAUUUGUUUUCAACAGGACAAUGACCCAACAUAUCUCCAGGCUGUGUAAGGGCUAUUUGACAAUGAGGGAGAGUGAUGGAGUGCUGCAUUAGAUGACCUGGUCUCCACAAUCACCCGACCUCAACCCAACUGAGAUGGUUUGGGAUGAGUUGGACCGCAGAGUGAAGGAAAAGCAGCCAUUAAGUGCUCAGCAUAUGUGGGAACUCCUUCAAGACUGUUGGAAAAGAAUUCCAGGUGAAGCUGGUUGAGAGAAUGCCAAGAGUGUGUAAAGCUGUCAUCAAGGUAAAGGGUGGCCACUUUGAAGAAUCUAAAAUAUAUUUUUAUUUGUUUAACACUUUUUUGGUUACUACAUGAUUCCAUAUGUGUUAUUUCAUAGUUUUUAUGUCUUCACUAUUAUUCUACAAUGUAGAAAAUAGUAAAAAUAUAGAAAACCCUUGAAUGAAAGACAGGUUCUGAACUAAUAUUCAUACUAAAAGUUUUAGGGUCCAUACACAGAUCGGCUACAUAUUGUAGCUAGCUAAACAUCCAUAGGCAUACAGUUAUUUUUAUGCUCCACUACACAAUAAACAAAUAAAUAGUUAGCUAGCUAUGUUACUUCAGCUGCAAUGCAUGGCAAAUAUGAGCAAAAUCUAAUCAAAAUCAAAUGUAUUUAAAUAGCCCUUCUUACAUCAGCUGUAAUCUCAAAUCGCUGUACAGAAACCCAACCUCAACCCCCAAACAGCAAGCAAUGCAGGUGUAGAUGCAGGUGUAGAAGCAUGGUGGCUAGUAAAAACUCCCUAGAAAGGCCAAAACCUAGGAAGAAACCUAGAGAGGAACCAGGCUAUGAGAAAUUUGCAGGAAAUGCUUUAGCUAGCUAGAUUCUUUACAUCCACUGUUUCACAAGACUGCAGCCUGGUUUCCUGCUUUUCUCAGGAAUCCCUAAACCAUUAAACAACACGAAUUACAAAUUCUUACUCGUGUCAUAACACUAGUUAGCUAGCUGGCUAAUGUUAGCUGGUCAGCUAACUUGCUAAAUAGCGAUUUUCGUAAAUUAACUUUAUGACCUAAAAAUAUGCACAAUCGUUUGUCUCUACAUUAAAUAACAUAUUCCUCUCAAUUGUACAUUUUUAGCUUGACUCGUUAUGACAUUAUAACUACUUACAUUUGCUUCCUCCGUAAUGUUUUUUCAGACAUCUUUGCUGAAGAAAGUCACCAGGGAAGGGUGGCUCGUGUCAAAUUUGUCAUUGGAACCACUGAUUGGUUAUGAUAUGAUUGGUCAUAUAAAAACCUUGGGACCCAAAUACAUAAUGAGUGCUCUAACUCCCCCUUGCGGUGGUCUGGAGCAAUGAAGCCGUGACGCUGGGUACCUCUUAAGUCCCGCGGUGUAAGCUCGCAACUUUUAAAGGAGGAACCACUGUAGGUGUGUCCAAACUUUUGACUGGUACUGUAUAUAGUAUGCAGACAAAGUGAGCAUUUGCACUCCACAUUACCUUAAAUCAGAGCCAUAUCUGCCUGAUAUUAUUCAACCCUUUUUUAGAGAGCUAUUUUUUCCCCCCUACUUUCAGCAGUAGUACUUUAAAAUAGAUAGUAGAGUAGCAUGCUAUUUCCAUACCCAACCACAUCUAGCUAGGAUACCGAAGUGGGAAAUUACAUUGAAGCCCUGUUCUGUCACCAUCAAAUUGGCCAUCACUGAAGAAUGACAUCAAUACAAAGCAGCAUUGGUUUGCGUAUCUUUGGGCCAUUGGACAUGGUGCACAGUUUGUUAUAACACUGUCAAUGCUUGUACAAAUGCCAUUCAAACUAUACUGAACAAAAAUAUAAACGCAACAUGCAACAAUUUUUUGAGAGUUACAGUUCAUAUAAGGAAAUCAGUCAAUUCAAAUAAAUU